UUUGGGUAUAGGGAGCUAAUCGAACAUCUAGUAGCUGGUUCCUGCCGAAGUUUCCCUCAGGAUAGCAAACUCAUUGUCAGAUUUAUGUGGUAAAGGAAUGAUUAGAGGCCUUGGGGUUGUAACAACCUUAACCUAUUCUCAAACUUUAAAUAUGUAAGAGAGCCGUUUUAAUUGGGC
rnacentral:rRNA from 1 species